GCUACCAUAGCACAGAGUAAAACUGGAAGGAUGCCAAGAUGAUUAGCACAGCCCCUGCACCAGGAUGACAUGAAUAUGUGACACAUUUCAUAUUUUU
rnacentral:snRNA from 1 species